GAGGGUAUAGCUCAGUGGUAGGGCACGUGCUUAGCAUGCACGAGGUCCUGGGUUCAAUCCCUGGCACCUCCA
rnacentral:tRNA from 1 species